rnacentral:snRNA from 1 species
ACUUGAGUUUAAAAAAAAAAAAAAACUAGGUGUGUGCUUCAGCUGCAUAUAUACUAAAAUGAUUAGCAUGGCCCCUGUGCAAGGAUGACACUCAAAUUCGUGAAAUAGUCCAUAUUUUA